GGAGGAAGCUGACGGUUGAGCCAUGCACGCACGCGGUGCAGAACGAGCGGCUCUCGCUACGCGUGGUGCUGCAGGUGCUCUUUUUCGAGCAGCUGCAGCUCUGGCGCGCCAUCACCGGCACGUUCCUAGCGUCCACGGGCGGGCUUCCGCAGCAGCAGCGGCGCGCGGCUCUACAACAAGGCCAGACCCAUCGAUACAUCGCGGACGACGGCGAUGCAGGAGAGCCAAGUGUUGCGGGUGGACAUGGACGGCAUGCGGAGCCGGCCGGUGCUGGGCCUCGAAAGGGAGUGAUGAUUGACAGCCGCCGACGAUGUUGCGGACGCCGGGUCGCCCGGUAGGGCGGACGCCGCCUCCAAUAGCUGUAGGUCGCGGUACGUAUGGGUGCAAGUUCAGCAGUUUGAGUUCGACUCGCAGGCGCGCGACGCGAUUGGGUCCACGGCGUCCAGGAUGGGGAUGAGCCCAUGAACGAACGCAUAUUCCGUUAGGCCAUUCCGUUCGUAGGCGAUAUGUAUGAUGACCACAAAUCACUCGAGACUAAAAUGGUUGAGAGGAUCCAGGCUCAACGGCUCUAACAUCAUGCAAGCCUCAACAUUAAAGGCUCUGUCGCCGUAGAGAUUCAGUCGGAAAGUUGUCAUGCACAAACAAGACAGGAUGUGUUUUGCUGCCGUGAAGGCAUCACAUCCUGACCAUGCCGCCGAUGUGGACCAUGAGGUACAAUUUUAAGGUCUAAGGAUUAAUUCUUUUAUCUUCUAUAAUUUAUUGACUUCUGUUUUGCUGCCUUGCACACACUUUAGAUCAGUCGAAACAGAUGUGUGCCUUUACUUAUAUCUAUCUAUAUAUUAGCAUAUUACACUGCUUUACAUUAUACUCGCUGUGCAGCUUCUCAGUUUAAGUCGCAAUUUUAGCAACAAGCAACUCCCAUACAUACUUCAUCUGGGUUCUUUUUACAUCUGAACACUGCCUUGCAUGGAAAAAAAACCGGAUAAAUCAAAGUAGAUGAUGCAUCUUUAAUUAUACUUACAUAUCAUUAUGGUGCACUGUCUUACAUUAUACCCACAUUCAGUAAUUUCACACAUUAGUGAUCUGCAUUUGAGAUUCUUUUUGUCUCAGAAUUUUUUUUCUCAUGUGAGUGUCCUCAAACUCAUGCUUCCUACUCUGUAUAGUUAAUUUUAUGCCAUGGAGAUACAUCAAGAAUAUUUCUCAUUUCUACCGAUUCAUGCAUAUACCUAACCUCUUGAAGUAUACUAUGCGCAAAUCUCUUAAAUGACGUCUGCAUCCACUCUAUAUUGAACAAAAUGGACAAGGUAGCCAAAUGUUCCUCCUGCCAUGAUUAUUCUUUCUUCAGUUUUCUGCAGUUAGUAUUUGAAUUUUGUUCUUACCAUAGGGAACCAUAAUUUGUUUGAAACGAGUGGGAACCAUAAUGGAAGGGUGUGCUCGGUUCAAUCCCCGAAGCCCUCCACUCAAAUUAAAACGGCGCCAUUCUUACACUGGACAACAAUGCAAGGUACUGACGUGAUCCAGAUCGACAACCAGCAACAAAGCACAACUAAUUUGGGGUACCAGCAAGAGAGCUGCUCAGAAUCUUCAGUCUCCACUCCCCACAAUACCUACAUCUACUAUCUAAUUUGGCUAGAUCAUUCAUAGGCGUCAUCUGGCUGUAAAUGUGAAUCUCCUUGCUGCAAAAUAGUUCGGUAACAAAUGUUUCUCCGUCAUGUAAGUUAUUGUAUAUACAUAUGCUACUACGUCAAUA